GGAGGUAGUGACAAUAAAUCACAAUGCGGAACUUCUGUUUUGCAAUUGGAUUGAGAACAACGCACAACACUUAUCGAUAAACAAUUGGAGGGCAAGUCUGGUGCCAGCAGCCGCGGUAAUUCCAGCUCCAAUAGCGUAUAUUAACGUUGUUGCAGUUAAAAAGCUCGUAGUUGAAGUGAAGUGUGAAUCUCUAGGAUUUUCGUUAGAAUUUCCUUUAGCUUCAUACUCUUUCCAAAUAGUUUGCAUGGGUAUUUACUUAUCUGUGUAUUGCAUUUGGUCAUUUACUGUGAGAAAAUUAGAGUGUUCAAAGCAUACGUUUGUUUGAAUACAUUAGCAUGGAAUAAUUCGAAAAGGCUUUCAUGUUCGAUUUGAUUGGUUUGUUCGUGAAGGCAAGAUUAAAAGGGACAGUUGGGGGUAUUCAUAUUCAAUAGUCAGAGGUGAAAUUCUCGGAUUUAUGGAAGAUGAACAAGUGCGAAAGCA
rnacentral:rRNA from 1 species